rnacentral:rRNA from 1 species
GAAGCUGGAAUUGCUAGUAAUGGCAGGUCAGCAUACUGCCGUGAAUACGUUCCCGGGCCUUGUACACACCGCCCGUCACACCAUGAGAGUUGGGAAUACCCGAAGCCUGUGAGCCAACUUUUAAAGAGGCAACAGUCGAAGGUAGAAUCAAUGAUUGGGGUGAAGUCGUAACAAGGUACC